UUACUAGUUACUGUUGCUAUGGGAGGGGCCGCGGGUGAGGCUGGAGGGAGAGGACCCGGGACGCAGCUGAUGGAUGCUGUGGCGUAGCACGUCAGACCUAUUCGUCCCGUUCCGGUGCCCAGCAGAUCUUUAAGGGAACUUCGUUCCCGACCCACUACAGUUCAGGAAUGUGUCCUUAGGUCAUCCCAUCUUCAGGAUGAGUAAACGUGGGUUCCCAGAGGCAAAAGGGAUCACUUGUUUAUUUUCAAGGACUUCAAAAUUCUGAUGAGGAGUGAAGAUUCCCUAGUUACUGAGCUGCUGAAGGCAUCUUUGAAGAGGAGGAGGUGCAAACUUCAUCCCUCGGCCUAGUUCUACACAGAGGCUGCAGAGCACAGGAGGACCCAGUGGUGAGAGGGCCUCAGUGAGCCAGGGGAGGAGGCUGAAGGCUGCUCCAAGGAAAUGAUGUCUCAGAAUGGCUCGGGCUUCCAGCACAGAGGGACAGAGUGAUCAAAGCCGUCAAUACACGAAAUUCCAUGUCUAGGGGCUCAUCUCGGGGAAACAAUCAUAGAUGUGUCCAAAGACGUCUCUUAAACAACUUGAAUGAUUUAGAAUAGCAAAAAUGUAAAAACAAUCUAAAUAAUCAACAUUUAGAGGAUUCAUUAAAUGAACUAUAAUACAUUCAUAUUCUGGGUUAUGGUACAGCCCGCUGUUCUGAUUAAUAUUUGAUGAUCUGAGGAAGAGGUUCAGCAAAAAAGAGGAGUAAGCAAAAGUAAAAACAAUGUAAUCCCAAGUUGUGUUGUAAUUUUAUUUUAAGAAGAAGUAGUGGAAUGAUAACCAUAAACAUCAGUGCUGGGAGGCAGACAGGGAGACUGGCUAGGAGAGGUGCAUGUGGAGAGGUGUAGACAUUAGUAAUGCUAGUUAACUACUGUGAGCUCUGGAGCUGGUAAUAGAUUAACUAUAUUGUAUAUUAAAUAAACGCUUAUAUGUAUGUGUGUAUAUGUAGCUGCAUAGAAAGAAAUUGAGAGAAUUUAUAAAAAUUUGGUAGUGACUGUCUCUGCUGGGUCAAAGUAUAUGUGACGUUUUUUCUUUUUUUUUUUUUUUUUUUGUAUUUUGCAAAAUUUUUAUUUGGAAAUGUGCUUUUCGGCUAUAAUUAGAAUAGCUAAGGUCACUUUCAUAAGGUGGAGAAGUACGGAGGUUUAUGAGAAGGGGAGUACUGCUCCAUGAGGAAUUUCCACCAAAAACUGGGAAAUGCCUCUGGAAUGGAGUACGGGAAUUGACAGGGGGCUUUCUGAGCGCGCACAUCACUCUUGACCAUAAGAGGGCGCAAGGAAUCAAAGUAAAAGCAAAGCUAAACCUG